rnacentral:rRNA from 1 species
UAGGGAAUCUUCCACAAUGGACGCAAGUCUGAUGGAGCAACGCCGCGUGAGUGAGGAAGGUUUUCGGACCGUAAAGCUCUGUUGUUGGUGAAGAAGGAUAGAGGUAGUAACUGGCCUUUAUUUGACGGUAAUCAACCAGAAAGUCACGGCUAACUACGUGCCAGCAGCCGCGGUAAUACGUAGGUGGCAAGCGUUGUCCGGAUUUAUUGGGCGUAAAGCGAGCGCAGGCGGAAGAAUAAGUCUGAUGUGAAAGCCCUCGGCUUAACCGAGGAAUUGCAUCGGAAACUGUUUUCUUGAGUGCAGAAGAGGAGAGUAGAACUCCAUGUGUAGCGGUGGAAUGCGUAGAUAUAUGGAAGAAUACCAGUGGCGAAGGCGGCUCUCUGGUCUGCAACUGACGCUGAGGCUCGAAAGCAUGGGUAGCGAACAGGAUUAGAUACCCUGGUAGUCCAUGCCGUAAACGAUGAGUGCUAAGUGUUGGGAGGCUUCCGCCUCUCAGUGCUGCAGCUAACGCAUUAAGCACUCCGCCUGGGGGAGUACGACCGCAAGGUUGAAAC